ensembl:misc_RNA 7SK 7SK RNA
GGAUAUGAGGGUGAUCUGGCUGUGACAUCUGUCACCCCAUUGAUUGCCAGGGUUGACUAGGCUGAUCUGGCUGGCCUGGCAGGCAUCCCCUUUAUCCCUCACUGCUCCAUGAACAUCCCUUCUGAAGCUGCACGCUUAGCCGUUUGAUGAGGGCAACUUUCCACAAAUAGAGACAAACGGGUCUUCAGUGAAGCAUAUAUGAGGAGCUGUGCUCCCUGCUAGAACCUCCAAACAAGCUCUCAAAAAUUGAGAUGACAUCCAAAAAUACACACCCUACACAACUGGAAUUUGAACUAAAAUCUGUCUUACUGU